GGGGGUGAAUGGAUUCGACAGGGAUAGAGUGGAUUAUCAAUGCGUGCCGGGGAGCUAACCUACCCGUUAAACUGGUUGGAACGCUUAAAUGCAAACGAAAAUUACGCUUUAGCUGCUUAGUCGGCUACGGUCUCAAUGGGAUGGCAACACGCUCAGAAGAGAUUGUUAUACAUUGUUGCUACUUUGAACUGAUGUCUGUAAGUUCAAGGGAAAUUCACAGACUUGGCGGACCUGAGUUUUGAUUGCUUUAUAAGGCUUGCUGAAAACCAAAAACAACUACGCCCGUAGAUUUGGUAGUUGACAUAUCUUUGGACGCGGGUUCAAUUCCCGCCACCUCCACCA
rnacentral:tmRNA from 1 species